rnacentral:rRNA from 1 species
ACUGCGAAUACCGGAGAAUGUUAUCACGGGAGACACACGGCGGGUGCUAACGUCCGUCGUGAAGAGGGAAACAACCCAGACCGCCAGCUAAGGUCCCAAAGUCAUGGUUAAGUGGGAAACGAUGUGGGAAGGCCCAGACAGCCAGGAUGUUGGCUUAGAAGCAGCCAUCAUUUAAAGAAAGCGUAAUAGCUCACUGGUCGAGUCGGCCUGCGCGGAAGAUGUAACGGGGCUAAACCAUGCACCGAAGCUGCGGCAGCGAACGUAUCACUUAAAACGAUUCAGAAGCUUACGAUUGACGGAGCGAAGCGACGUCAAAGCGUAUACAAAGUCGAGUCGGUUUAAGGAUACGUUCGUUGGGUAGGGGAGCGUUCUGUAAGCCGUUGAAGGUGGCCUGUGAGGGUUGCUGGAGGUAUCAGAAGUGCGAAUGCUGACAUAAGUAACGAUAAAGCGGGUGAAAAGCCCGCUCGCCGGAAGACCAAGGGUUCCUGUCCAACGUUAAUCGGGGCAGGGUGAGUCGACCCCUAAGGCGAGGCCGAAAGGCGUAGUCGAUGGGAAACGGGUUAAUAUUCCCGUACUUGGUGUUACUGCGAAGGGGGGACGGAGAAGGCUAUGUUGGCCGGGCGACGGUUGUCCCGGUUUAAGCGUGUAGGCUGACUUUCCAGGCAAAUCCGGAGAGUCAAGGCUGAGGCGUGAUGACGAGGCACCACGGUGCUGAAGCAACAAAUGCCCUGCUUCCAGGAAAAGCCUCUAAGCAUCAGGUAACAUCAAAUCGUACCCCAAACCGACACAGGUGGUCAGGUAGAGAAUACCAAGGCGCUUGAGAGAACUCGGGUGAAGGAACUAGGCAAAAUGGUGCCGUAACUUCGGGAGAAGGCACGCUGACACGUAGGUGAAGUGGUUUACCCAUGGAGCUGAAGUCAGUCGAAGAUACCAGCUGGCUGCAACUGUUUAUUAAAAACACAGCACUGUGCAAACACGAAAGUGGACGUAUACGGUGUGACGCCUGCCCGGUGCCGGAAGGUUAAUUGAUGGGGUCAGCGCAAGCGAAGCUCCUGAUCGAAGCCCCGGUAAACGGCGGCCGUAACUAUAACGGUCCUAAGGUAGCGAAAUUCCUUGUCGGGUAAGUUCCGACCUGCACGAAUGGCGUAAUGAUGGCCAGGCUGUCUCCACCCGAGACUCAGUGAAAUUGAACUCGCUGUGAAGAUGCAGUGUACCCGCGGCAAGACGGAAAGACCCCGUGAACCUUUACUAUAGCUUGACACUGAACAUUGAGCCUUGAUGUGUAGGAUAGGUGGGAGGCUUUGAAGCGUGGACGCCAGUCUGCGUGGAGCCGGCCUUGAAAUACCACCCUUUAAUGUUUGAUGUUCUAACGUGGACCCGUGAUCCGGGUUGCGGACAGUGUCUGGUGGGUAGUUUGACUGGGGCGGUCUCCUCCUAAAGAGUAACGGAGGAGCACGAAGGUUGGCUAAUCCUGGUCGGACAUCAGGAGGUUAGUGCAAUGGCAUAAGCCAGCUUGACUGCGAGCGUGACGGCGCGAGCAGGUGCGAAAGCAGGUCAUAGUGAUCCGGUGGUUCUGAAUGGAAGGGCCAUCGCUCAACGGAUAAAAGGUACUCCGGGGAUAACAGGCUGAUACCGCCCAAGAGUUCAUAUCGACGGCGGUGUUUGGCACCUCGAUGUCGGCUCAUCACAUCCUGGGGCUGAAGUAGGUCCCAAGGGUAUGGCUGUUCGCCAUUUAAAGUGGUACGCGAGCUGGGUUUAGAACGUCGUGAGACAGUUCGGUCCCUAUCUGCCGUGGGCGCUGGAGAACUGAGGGGGGCUGCUCCUAGUACGAGAGGACCGGAGUGGACGCAUCACUGGUGUUCGGGUUGUCAUGCCAAUGGCACUGCCCGGUAGCUAAAUGCGGAAGAGAUAAGUGCUGAAAGCAUCUAAGCACGAAACUUGCCCCGAGAUGAGUUCUCCCUGAGACUUUGAGUCUCCUGAAGGAACGUUGAAGACGACGACGUUGAUAGGCCGGGUGUGUAAGCGCAGCGAUGCGUUGAGCUAACCGGUACUAAUGAACCGUGAGGCUUAACCUU